AUACAUGCAAGUCGAACGAGCUUCCGUUGAAUGACGUGCUUGCACUGAUUUCAACAAUGAAGCGAGUGGCGAACUGGUGAGUAACACGUGGGGAAUCUGCCCAGAAGCAGGGGAUAACACUUGGAAACAGGUGCUAAUACCGUAUAACAACAAAAUCCGCAUGGAUUUUGUUUGAAAGGUGGCUUCGGCUAUCACUUCUGGAUGAUCCCGCGGCGUAUUAGUUAGUUGGUGAGGUAAAGGCCCACCAAGACGAUGAUACGUAGCCGACCUGAGAGGGUAAUCGGCCACAUUGGGACUGAGACACGGCCCAAACUCCUACGGGAGGCAGCAGUAGGGAAUCUUCCACAAUGGACGAAAGUCUGAUGGAGCAAUGCCGCGUGAGUGAAGAAGGGUUUCGGCUCGUAAAACUCUGUUGUUAAAGAAGAACACCUUUGAGAGUAACUGUUCAAGGGUUGACGGUAUUUAACCAGAAAGCCACGGCUAACUACGUGCCAGCAGCCGCGGUAAUACGUAGGUGGCAAGCGUUGUCCGGAUUUAUUGGGCGUAAAGCGAGCGCAGGCGGUUUUUUAAGUCUGAUGUGAAAGCCUUCGGCUUAACCGGAGAAGUGCAUCGGAAACUGGGAGACUUGAGUGCAGAAGAGGACAGUGGAACUCCAUGUGUAGCGGUGGAAUGCGUAGAUAUAUGGAAGAACACCAGUGGCGAAGGCGGCUGUCUAGUCUGUAACUG
rnacentral:rRNA from 1 species